CUAGCACUGUCAGCCUUAUGUCGUGCAAAGUCAAGAAAAUCUCGAACUCCUUUUUGAUGUUCAGGCAAAAAAAUACCUCUAGCAUUCAUCCAACUUUUGUUGAUAUUCAUCUAACAACAAACAUAAAAUUAUUAACAACCAAAAUAAAGUUUAGUGGUAUUCUGGAUCUCAAUUUGAAUUUCAGACUGAACGCGUUCUGAAUUCCAGCUAAAAUUUCGAUCCGGAU
rnacentral:lncRNA from 1 species